UACGUAGGGGGCAAGCGUUGUCCGGAUUUAUUGGGCGUAAAGAGCGUGUAGGCGGCCAGGUAGGUCCGUUGUGAAAACUGGAGGCUUAACCUCCAGCUGUCGAUGGAAACCAUCUGGCUAGAGUCCGGAAGAGGAGAGUGGAAUUCCCGGUGUAGAGGUGAAAUUCGUAGAUAUCGGGAGGAACACCAGUGGCGAAGGCGGCUCUCUGGACAGGACCUGACGCUGAGACGCGAAAGCGUGGGUAGCAAACAGG
rnacentral:rRNA from 1 species